rnacentral:sRNA from 1 species
CAGCCUCCCAAAGUGAAAUGCCUGACCAAGAUCUGGCACCCCAACAUCACAGAGACAGGGGAAAUAUGUCUGAGUUUACUGAGAGAACAUUCAAUUGAUGGCACUGGCUGGGCUCCCACAAGAACAUUAAAGGAUGUCGUUUGGGGAUUAAACUCUUUGUUUACUGUAAGUACAGUGAUCAAAAUCCCAAGUUAUUCUCAGUUUCCUUGUUGCUGGUUUUAGACAUUGCGUUAAGGUUAACACAAAACCAUGUUAAAAAAUGAAACAUGGACUGGGCACAGUGGCUCACGCCUGUAAUCCUAGCACUUUGGGCGGAUCCCCACUUGAGUCCAGGAGGCCCAAACCCCAUCUCUACAAAAAAUAGAAAAAUUAGUUGGGCAUAGUGGCACACGUCUGUAGUCCCAGCUGCUUGGAAGGCUGAGUUGGGAGAAUUGCUUGAGCCCAGGAGGCAGAGGUUGCAGUGAGCUGAGAUUGCACCACUGUACUCCAGCCUGGGUGACAGAGACUCUGCCUCAAAAAACAGAUACACACAAAACCCCCCCAAAAAACAUGCUGGCUGGGCAUGGUGGCUCAC